UACGAAGGGGGCUAGCGUUGUUCGGAUUUACUGGGCGUAAAGCGCACGUAGGCGGUUUGUUAAGUCAGAGGUGAAAUCCCGGAGCUCAACUCCGGAACUGCCUUUGAUACUGGCAAGCUAGAGUCCGGAAGAGGUAAGUGGAACUCCUAGUGUAGAGGUGGAAUUCGUAGAUAUUAGGAAGAACACCAGUGGCGAAGGCGGCUUACUGGUCCGGAACUGACGCUGAGGUG
rnacentral:rRNA from 1 species